AUUGAACGCUGGCGGCAUGCCUUACACAUGCAAGUCGAACGGCAGCACGGAGCUUGCUCUGGUGGCGAGUGGCGAACGGGUGAGUAAUAUAUCGGAACGUACCCAAGUGUGGGGAUAACGUAGCGAAAGUUACGCUAAUACCGCAUACGAUCUAAGGAUGAAAGUGGGGGCUCGUAAGACCUCAUGCUCCUGGAGCGGCCGAUAUCUGAUUAGCUAGUGGGUGAGGUAAAGGCUCACCAAGGCAUCGAUCAGUAGCUGGUCUGAGAGGACGACCAGCCCCUCUGAAACUGGGACACGGUCCAGACUCCGACGGGAGGCAGCAGUGGGGCAUUUUGGACAAUGGGGGCAACCCUGAUGCAGCGAUGCGGCGUGAGUGAAGAAGGCGUUCGGGUUGUAAAGCUCUUUUGUCAGGGAAGAAACGGUGAAGGCUAAUAUCCUUUGCUAAUGACGGUACCUGAAGAAUAAGCACCGGCUAACUACGUGCCAGCAGCCGCCGUAACAC
rnacentral:rRNA from 1 species